GGAAACCCAGUAUAUAGUGAUAUAUACUACCUAUAUGGAGCAAACGUGGGGAAUUGAAACAUCUUAGUACCCACAGGAAAAGAAAUCAAAUGAGAUUACGAAAGUAGCGGCGAGCGAAAUCGUAAGAGGGCAAACCACUAGUUUACUAGUGGGGUUGUAGGACUGUAACAUAGACUAAAAAGAGUUAAUAGAAUAAUCUGGAAAGUUUAAGCAUAGAGGGUGAUACUCCCGUAUAUGAAAACUCUUUUUUACUUAACAGUAUCCUGAGUAGGGCGAGGCACGUGAAACCUUGUCUGAAUCUGGGAAGACCACUUUCCAACCCUAAAUACUACUACCAAACCGAUAGCGAACAAGUACCGUGAGGGAAAGGUGAAAAGAACGGGGGUGACCCGAGUGAAAUAGAACCUGAAACCAUUUGCUUACAAUCAUUCAGAGCACGAUUCUUUAUGACGUGUGAUGGACUGCCUUUUGCAUAAUGAGCCUGCGAGUUGUGAUAUCUGGCAAGGUUAAGGAAAUCCGGAGCCGUAGCGAAAGCAAGUCUUAAUAGGGCGUUUAGUCAGAUAUUGCAGACCCGAAACGAAGUGAUCUAUCCAUGAGCAGGUUGAAACCGGUGUAAGAGCCGGCGGAGGACCGAACCCGCUGACGUUGAAAAGUCUUGGGAUGACUUGUGGAUAGGGGUGAAAGGCCAAUCAAACUUCGUGAUAGCUGGUUCUCUCCGAAAUAUAUUUAGGUAUAGCGUUAUGUAGUAAUUAGAGGGGGUAGAGCACUGAAUGGGCUAGGGCAUACACCAAUGUACCAAACCCUAUCAAACUCCGAAUACCUUUAAUGUAAUCAUAGCAGUCAGGCGGCGAGUGAUAAAAUCCGUCGUCAAGAGGGGAACAACCCAGACUACCGACUAAGGUCCCAAAAUCUUAUUUAAGUGGAAAACGAUGUGAAGUUACUUAAACAACCAGGAGGUUGGCUUAGAAGCAGCCAUCCUUUAAAGAUAGCGUAAUAGCUCACUGGUCUAGUGAUUUUGCGCGGAAAAUAUAACGGGGCUAAAAUAAGUACCGAAGUCGUAGACUUAGUUUUACUAAGUGGUAGGAGAGCGUUGUAUUUAGCGUUGAAGAUGUACCGGUAAGGAGCGUUGGAGCAAAUACAAGUGAGCAUGCAGGCAUGAGUAGCGUUAAAUCAGGUGAGAAUCCUGAUCGCCGAAAACCCAAGGUUUCCUACGCGAUGCUCGUCAUCGUAGGGUUAGUCGGGUCCUAAGCAAAGUCCGAAAGGGGUAUGCGAUGGAAAAUUGGUUAAUAUUCCAAUACCAAUUAUUAUGUGCGAUGGAAGGACGCUUAAAGUUAGUGGAGCUAACUGAUGGAAUAGUUAGUCUAAGGUCGUAGGUUGAGUUAUAGGCAAAUCCGUAACUCUUUAUCCGAAAGCUUAAAGGCUUACAAAGCUCUUCGGAGUAGCGUAAGAAUCCAUGAUACUAUAGAGCCAAGAAAAGUUUCUAAGUUUAGUAAUAAUUGCCCGUACCGUAAACCGACACAGGUGGGUGGGAUGAGUAUUCUAAGGCGCGUGGAAGAACUCUCUUUAAGGAACUCUGCAAAAUAGCACCGUAUCUUCGGUAUAAGGUGUGCCUACCAGGGUGCAAGCCCUAGAGGUUACAACAAAGAGUCCCUCCCGACUGUUUACCAAAAACACAGCACUCUGCUAACACGUAAGUGGAUGUAUAGGGUGUGACGCCUGCCCGGUGCUCGAAGGUUAAUUGAUGGAGUUAGCAUUAGCAAAGCUCUUGAUCGAAGCCCGAGUAAACGGCGGCCGUAACUAUAACGGUCCUAAGGUAGCGAAAUUCCUUGUCGGUUAAAUACCGACCUGCAUGAAUGGCGUAACGAGAUGGGAGCUGUCUCAAAGAGGGAUCCAGUGAAAUUGUAGUGGAGGUGAAAAUUCCUCCUACCCGCGGCAAGACGGAAAGACCCCGUGAACCUUUACUAUAGCUUGACACUGCUACUUGGAUAAAGAUGUGCAGGAUAGGUGGGAGAUUAUGAUCUAUAGAUGCUAGUCUAUAAGGAGUCAUCCUUGAGAUACCACUCUUCUUUAUUCGGGUAGCUAACUAGCCUAAGUUAUCCUUAGGUAGGACAAUGUCUGGUGGGUAGUUUGACUGGGGCGGUCGCCUCCCAAAUAAUAACGGAGGCUUACAAAGGUUGGUUCAAAACGGUUGGAAAUCGUUUGUAGAGUAUAAAGGCAAAAACCAGCUUAACUGCGACACCGACAAGUGGAGCAGAGACGAAAGUCGGUCUUAGUGAUCCGGUGGUUCUGUGUGGAAGGGCCAUCGCUCAAAGGAUAAAAGGUACCCCGGGGAUAACAGGCUGAUCUCCCCCAAGAGCUCACAUCGACGGGGAGGUUUGGCACCUCGAUGUCGGCUCAUCGCAUCCUGGGGCUGGAGCAGGUCCCAAGGGUAUGGCUGUUCGCCAUUUAAAGCGGUACGCGAGCUGGGUUCAGAACGUCGUGAGACAGUUCGGUCCCUAUCUGCCGUGGGCGUAAGAAGAUUGAGGAGAGUUGACCCUAGUACGAGAGGACCGGGUUGAACCAACCACUGGUGUAUAAGUUGUCCUGCCAAGGGCACCGCUUAGUAGCUAAGUUGGGAUGUGAUAAGAGCUGAAAGCAUCUAAGCUCGAAGCCAACUCCAAGAUUAAUCUUCUUUUAAGAGCUCUUAUAGACUAUAAGUUUGAUAGGCUGGGUGUGUAAUUGAUGUAAGUCAUUUAGCUGACCAGUACUAAUAGCUCGUUUGCUUAUCUAUU
rnacentral:rRNA from 1 species